GCCACAUCCUCUUUCAAAAGUCCUUUCGAUUGAGCCACUAGAUUAUCAUUGUAGAUAGGACUCUUUACGGGUAAAGUAGCUUGUUGUGAAGGUCCCAAACAAUGAAGCCAACUACGUGGUUCAUUCACUAGGCCUACCUGCGGUUGAGGGACCUUCAAUGCAGAGCUUACUGGAAAGGUUCCAUUCUUCAUAACCAUAUUGUUGCUGAUACUUGAAGCAACGAGAUUAGGUCGGCCCAGAUUCGGUGCAGCACUGAAAGAAUUUAACAGCGAUGGUUCCCAAUCAAAAAGAAGCCUAGGAGGACGUCCUGCUUCCCAAGCUUCUCCCAUCCAAUCAAAACAAUUUACC
rnacentral:lncRNA from 1 species